GUGGCAGGCGCCUGUAAUCCCAACUAUUUGGGAGUCUGAGGCAGGAGAAUCGCUUGAACCCGGGAGGCGGAGGUUGCAGUGAGCCAAGAUCGUGCCACUGCACUCCAGCCUGGGCAACAGGAGUGAAAUUCCAUCCCAAAAAAACCAAACCAAAACAAAACAAACAAAACCCUAGCCUCUGAAUUUUCAGGGAGGUUGAUUUGAGUAAUAAUAAAACUCCAGUCUCCCAGUUAGCCAGCUCUACCUGUCUUAAACUCUUUCUCUAUUAGAAUUCCCCAGUCCUGAUAAAUAAGCUUAAUCUGGGCAGCGGGUAAAAUGAACCCAUCAGGCAGUUACAGGAUCUUAGGCAGUUGUUACUGAACUGAACUUGGGUCCACUUACCCAACAUGAAAAAAAAAAAAAGCCAAACACUGACACUGAAGUUUGCAGCAAAAGAAACUGAGGCAUUUAUUGCAGAGUUCCAAGCAAGGAAGAUUGGGCAGCUCACACUUAAGAUCCAAACUCCCCAGUGGUUUACAAGCAAGAGUUUUCAAGGGCAGGGGUACAUUUCAGGAAAGCAGAAGUUACAGGCAAAAUAGUAAAUCAAUACGUAGAGGUUAAACAUUGGUUUGGCCCAAAAAGGCAGGAUAUCUUGAAGACAGGGCUUAUAGGUCAUACGUGGAUUCAGAGAUUCUUUGAUUUGCAAUUGGUGAAGGGAGCAAGGCUUCGUCUAAAAACUUAGGGUCGGUAGGAAGCAAUGUUAAUUAAGGGUUUGGCCUGAGGGUGCGACUCUCUUGAAGCCCGUCAGGAAGAAAUUUAGAACAACAAACACUGGUCAGUCCUCACUGCCCCAUUAUCUGAGCUCUAUGUGACAGCAGUUGGCAUUUUCCACCUGAUGGGGGUCUGGGUAUCUGAAAAGCGACUCAAUAACAUAUGCUAAGAUAUGAUCAUUAGAGUCACAAAUCACCUUGUGACUCUAACUUGCUUGAGACACUAUUGCUUAAAUUAUUACUAUCUUCUUGCUUAUUAGGAUGUUCAUUAACUUCUCAAGGCUAGGUAGGUGCCUGGAAUUUUCCUUGAAAAAAACUCAAGAUUUUUCCUUUAUUUCUCUGGAGGCCUCUAAGAGGGGUCCCUGCUCCAUCUCGCAGUCACCUUGCCUCUAGGAACCCCCACCCCCGUUUCUUAAUUUGUCAGAUAAGGCAGUGAGUGGUUUCAAAGUCCUCUUCCAACUCUAAAAUGUUAAGAUUACCUACAUAUGGCCCAAUAGUAUUACAUUAGGUCAACUUGGUAUUUGCAUGUUUGUCUUCAGAGGUAACAGAGAUAGAGGGGAGGGAAUGAUGUGACAAAGACUCUGAUCUUUUUUUUUUUCUCAGACAGAGUCUCACUGUCACCAAGGCUGGAGUGCAGUGUCGCGACCUUGGCUCACUGCGAGCUCCGCCUCACAGGUUCAUGCCAUUCUCCUGCCUCAGCCUCCCGAGUAGCUGGGACUACAGGCGCCCACCACCUCGCCCUGCUAAUUUUUUGUAUUUUUAGUAGAGACAGGGUUUCACCGUGUUAGCCAGGAUGGUCUCGAUCUCCUGACCUCAUGAUCCACCUGCCUCGGCCUCCAAAAGUGCUGGGAUUACAGGCGUAAACCACUGUGCUCGGCCAAAGACUCUGAUCUUAACCAAACUUUAGUCAGGCUUCUCUAAGCCCUCUAGACCUUGACAUUCAAUAUCUGUCCUCGUUGGGCUUGCAUCACCCAGUUUUAGCAAAAGCAAAACUCUUGUCAGUUUAGAGAGAAUUCUUCACUCUCAAUGUCAGAUCACCCUCUAUAGCUGACCAAAUUCCUCAUCUUCCAUUAUCCCCCAGUGAUAUCUGAUCACCUUGGCCUGUCUUCAGCAAGAAUCCUAUUAGGUCAGUUUAGCAAAACUCCCCCUACCUUGGAUGUCUCUUCUUCAUGUUUUCCAUCCACUCCCCAUCCCACUCCUAUGCUCCUUGGCUAUAAAUAAAUCCCCAUUUUUCAGAGUUGAGCCCAGUCUCUCUCCCAUACUGCAAGACCCCUUUACAGUAGUUCCCUUCUUGAAUGUGGGAUAUGAUGAGGUUUCUCUUCAAAUAAUCUGAUCAAUCUUUUAUUCUUUAAUUCAUAAUCCCCCCCUACAUUUUUCUCCUUUUUUCCUUCUUGCCUUUGUUAAAUGCCCAGGCAUGCCACAGUAUCAAGCAUUAUCAGUACCAGCUCACAUUCCUUUCCUUAUUAAAAAAAAAACAACUAACUUUCUGGCUCAUUACAGACACCCCUUCCCCUUCCCCUUCCCCUCCACUUUCUUUUACGUGCCCACCCUAUCUAGAAAAUAUCAAAUGUUUAGCCAACCGAAAUUAGUUUAGAUUGUAUGACCCGACCCCGGCCAAUGGGGAAAGGGUACAGGGGCAAGAAUUGUAUCAAAAAUAAAGGCUCUUGUGCCUCUUUGUUCAGGUGUGCUCUCAUGACAACUGGCCAAGGAGGCACCCCUCUGCGCAAAAAUAAAAUUGCUUUACUAAAAAUCCUUUGUUC
rnacentral:lncRNA from 1 species